rnacentral:rRNA from 1 species
GACGAACGCUGGCGGCGUGCUUAACACAUGCAAGUCGAACGGAAAGGCCUUUUCGGCGGUACUCGAGUGGCGAACGGGUGAGUAACACGUGGGUGAUCUGCCCUGCACUCUGGGAUAAGCCUGGGAAACUGGGUCUAAUACCGGAUAGGACCGCACUUUAGUGUGUGUGGUGGAAAGUUUUUUCGGUGUAGGAUGAGCCCGCGGCCUAUCAGCUUGUUGGUGGGGUAAUGGCCUACCAAGGCGGCGACGGGUAGCCGGACUGAGAGGUUGGUCGGCCACAUUGGGACUGAGAUACGGCCCAGACUCCUACGGGAGGCAGCAGUGGGGAAUAUUGCACAAUGGGCCCAAGCCUGAUGCAGCGACGCCGCGUGGGGGAUGACGGCCUUCGGGUUGUAAACUCCUUUCGCCAGGGACGAAGCGUUUUGUGACGGUACCUGGAGAAGAAGCACCGGCUAACUACGUG